AACGAACGCUGGCGGCAUGCCUAACACAUGCAAGUCGAACGAUUGCCUUCGGGUGAUAGUGGCGCACGGGUGCGUAACGCGUGGGAAUCUGCCCUUAGGUUCGGAAUAACAGCUGGAAACGGCUGCUAAUACCGGAUGAUAUCGCGAGAUCAAAGAUUUAUCGCCUGAGGAUGAGCCCGCGUUGGAUUAGGUAGUUGGUGGGGUAAAGGCCUACCAAGCCGACGAUCCAUAGCUGGUCUGAGAGGAUGAUCAGCCACACUGGGACUGAGACACGGCCCAGACUCCUACGGGAGGCAGCAGUGGGGAAUAUUGGGCAAUGGGCGCAAGCCUGAUCCAGCAAUGCCGCGUGAGUGAUGAAGGCCCUAGGGUUGUAAAGCUCUUUUACCCGGGAAGAUAAUGACUGUACCGGGAGAAUAAGCCCCGGCUAACUCCGCG
rnacentral:rRNA from 1 species